UUGCAUGUGGAAAUGUCUGCUCCUCAUUCCUUUGGAAGCAGGAAUACAUCCAUAACAUGCUACAUUAGAAAAGGAGUUCUCAGGGCUGCCAACCUUACAGUAGAGGUUGAGUAGUAGUAUAUUUCUCCUACAUAA